rnacentral:rRNA from 1 species
UUAAAAUGUUAAUUAAUUAACUAAAGUAGUAUCAGUUAUGUUCUUUAAAUUUAAAGAUUUUGGCGGUAUUUUAGUCUAUUCAGAGGAACCUGUUCUAUAAUUGAUAGUCCACGAUUAACUUUACUUGAAUUUAAAAGUUUGUAUAUCGUUGUUUAUAGAAAAUUUUUUAAGAAAAAUAAUUUUUAAUAAAUUUAAUUAAAUUAUAAAUCAAAUCAAGGUGCAGCUUAUAUUUUAGUAGAAAUGGGUUACAAUAAAAUUAUUUAAAUGGAUUUAUAUUUUCAAAAUAUAAUGAAGGUGGAUUUGAUAGUAAUUUUAUUAAUUUAAAUAAAAUGAUUUUAGCUCUAGAAUAUGU